GACGAACGCUGGCGGCGCGCUUAACACAUGCAAGUCGAGCGAAGCGGCGGACGGGUGAGUAACACGUGAGUAACAUGCCUUAGACAUUGGGAUAGCCUCGGGAAACCGGGAUUAAUACCAAAUGGUCUAAGAUGGACUCGCGUCCCAUUAGCUAGUUGGUGAGGUAACGGCCCACCAAGGGGAGUAUGGGUAGCCGGCCUGAGAGGGUGAACGGCAACAUUGGAACUGAGAAACGGUCCAAACUCUACUGGAGGAAGUAGUGGGGAAUAUUGCACAAUGGAGGGAACUCUGAUGCAGCGACGCCGCGUGAACGAAGAAGGCUUUCGAGUCGUAAAGUUGUUUUAUAUGGGAAGCGGUACCAUAAGAAAAAGCCCCGGCUAACUACGUGCCAGCCGCCGCGGUAAUAC
rnacentral:rRNA from 1 species